AUGAACGCUAGCUACAGGCUUAACACAUGCAAGUCGGAGGGGCAGCAUGAACAUAGCUUGCUAUGUUUGAUGGCGACCGGCGCGACGGGUGAGUAACGCGUAUCCAACCUGCCUUCAUAUUGGGAUAGCCUCUCGAAAGGGAGAUUAAUACCGAAUAACAUAGUUUAGUUGCCUGACCAGACUAUGAAAGCUCCGGCGAUGAAGGAUGGGGAUGCGUUCCAUUAGGUAGUAGGCGGGGUAACGGCCCACCUAGCCAACGAUGGAUAGGGGUUCUGAGAGGAAGGUCCCCCACACUGGAACUGAGACACGGUCCAGACUCCUACGGGAGGCAGCAGUGAGGAAUAUUGGUCAAUGGGCGCAAGCCUGAACCAGCCAAGUAGCGUGAAGGAUGACUGCCCUAUGGGUUGUAAACUUCUUUUAUACGCGAACAACCGCAGGUACGUGUACCUGUCUGCGUGUAGCGUAUGAAUAAGCAUCGGCUAACUCCGUG
rnacentral:rRNA from 1 species